GACGAACGCUGGCGGCGUGCUUAACACAUGCAAGUCGAACGGAAAGGCCCUGCUUUUGUGGGGUGCUCGAGAGGCGAACGGGUGAGUAACACGUGAGUAACCUGCCCUUGACUUUGGGAUAACUUCAGGAAACUGGGGCUAAUACCGGAUAGGAGCUCCUGCUGCAUGGUGGGGGUUGGAAAGUUUCGGCGGUUGGGGAUGGACUCGCGGCUUAUCAGCUUGUUGGUGGGGUAGUGGCUUACCAAGGCUUUGACGGGUAGCCGGCCUGAGAGGGUGACCGGCCACAUUGGGACUGAGAUACGGCCCAGACUCCUACGGGAGGCAGCAGUGGGGAAUAUUGCACAAUGGGCGGAAGCCUAAUGCAGCAACGCCGCGUGCGGGAUGACGGCCUUCGGGUUGUAAACCGCUUUCGCCUGUGACGAAGCGUGAGUGACGGUAAUGGGUAAAGAAGCACCGGCCAACUACGUGCCAGCAGCCGCGGUGAUACGUAGGGUGCGAGCGUUGUCCGGAUUUAUUGGGCGUAAAGGGCUCGUAGGUGGUUGAUCGCGUCGGAAGUGUAAUCUUGGGGCUUAACCCUGAGCGUGCUUUCGAUACGGGUUGACUUGAGGAAGGUAGGGGAGAAUGGAAUUCCUGGUGGAGCGGUGGAAUGCGCAGAUAUCAGGAGGAACACCAGUGGCGAAGGCGGUUCUCUGGGCCUUUCCUGACGCUGAGGAGCGAAAGCGUGGGGAGCGAACAGGCUUAGAUACCCUGGUAGUCCACGCUGUAAACGGUGGGUACUAGGUGUGGGGUCCAUUCCACGGGUUCCGUGCCGUAGCUAACGCUUUAAGUACCCCGCCUGGGGAGUACGGCCGCAAGGCUAAAACUCAAAGGAAUUGACGGGGCCCCGCACAAGCGGCGGAGCAUGCGGAUUAAUUCGAUGCAACGCGUAGAACCUUACCUGGGUUUGACAUGGAUCGGGUGUGCUCAGAGAUGGGUGUGCCUCUUUUGGGGUCGGUUCACAGGUGGUGCAUGGCUGUCGUCAGCUCGUGUCGUGAGAUGUUGGGUUAAGUCCCGCAACGAGCGCAACCCUUGUUCACUGUUGCCAGCACGUUAUGGUGGGGACUCAGUGGAGACCGCCGGGGUCAACUCGGAGGAAGGUGGGGAUGACGUCAAGUCAUCAUGCCCCUUAUGUCCAGGGCUUCACGCAUGCUACAAUGGCUGGUACAGAGAGUGGCGAGCCUGUGAGGGUGAGCGAAUCUCGGAAAGCCGGUCUCAGUUCGGAUUGGGGUCUGCAACUCGACCUCAUGAAGUCGGAGUCGCUAGUAAUCGCAGAUCAGCAACGCUGCGGUGAAUACGUUCCCGGG
rnacentral:rRNA from 1 species